UUUCAUAAUAUAUUAUUAUAUUUAUUAUAUAAUUAUUGUAAGGGUUGUAGGGACACAAGGGAUGCUGGAAUGUAAGCAAUGCAGGAGUAUAAGGGUGGCAGAGAUGUGAAGGAUGCAGGGAUAUAAAGAAAGGAGAGAUGUAAGGAAUGCAGGGAUGUAAGGAAUGCAGGAGUAUAAGGGUGGUAGAGAUGUAAAGGAUGCAGGGAUAUAAAGGAUGCAGUGAUAUAAGGGGGCAAAGAUGUAAAGGAAUCGGGGAUGUAAAGGAUGCACACAGGUGUCGGCCUUUCCUCAGGCCGCGUAUAAGGACGUCUGAAGCCCCCAUUUCCGACGCCAGCGGCUCUGACAGCCCCACAGGUUUUGGUGGUGAAGCUGUCAUAUGUAGUGUUGAGAAAAGGGCUGGAUCAGACUCCCCUUGCUGCUCCUCUUGGUCCUGCAAUAUGACAAGACUGAGCAUCAGAUACUGACUGACAAUGAGUAAUGGGGUAUAGUCUUUGAUAUCGAAGCAAUCUGCUAUUACCAUCAACGUGCGUUAGACUGUUGCAGUGCGAAGUAUUUCACAUUUUUAUAUUAGGAUAGAACAGAUGGCGUUCGUUCUCAAGGGAGAAAUUCAAAAUACCUUGAAAACAAAGGCAUGUCUAAUUUUGUUGAAUUUGUAGUCACUGCCCUUGCGCUUGGAAAACUUGAUCGAAUUUUUGCCAAAUGGAAAUGGAAAUCGGUGAUCUAGCGGAUGUCUUAAAAUCGCGGUAAAAAUCUGAAAGAAAUGGUACUCUAUGGAAGAGAGGAGAAAAGUCCGGGCGGAAGAAAAGUCCGAGUUUAUCAAGUGAAAGCCGAUCAUUUUAGCUGUCAGUCUUUUUCCGACGUUCGAAGCGAGAGGAUCUGAGACUUCAUUCUUAUCAUCAUGACAUUUCCUUCAUUUAUCUCUGCAACUUGCAGCGAAUAACUUGCCGAUUCACUAGCCGUAAAAAGUGUGACCAUCUAUGAACAGACGGAAGAACUUGAUGGAAACCGCUUUCUCAAACGAUUACAAGAAAUUUUCUUAAUUAAAUAGUUUAUUGCGUUUUUUAUUAAAUAAUAGCAGAUUAGGUAAUAAUUUAAUAUCAGCGAUCUAAUACCGAAUUGCCGCGCUACCUAUUUAUGAUAAAUCUUCCGUCAACCCCGGUCGAUAACUAGUUACCAUCACUGAGGAAAAUGGCGUCAGCAUACAGACGUCGUUACUCAUAAUUUAUUAAGCAGUAGUAGUAAUCUACUGCUUAAUAAAUCUUAUCAAACAUUAUAAAGGAAUGUAAUUUGAACUUUCCUCUUUCUGUUUCAAUCAUAAAUUAUUGUGAAUUAUUACAACAUACGAUAGAAUCAAUGAAAUACCAACGGGUGUUCAAUGCAGAGUGUGCAGCUACCACAAUAAUUGCUAAUAACUAAGUGAUUAUAAAUGAAAUCUGCGCAAACGUGGUAUUAGAAAACUCUGCAGACAUUAUUUUUCGAGAAUUAAUCGUGAAAGUUCAAGUUUCAUUGCUGAUAAAUGCGUAAAUGAUGAUUUACUGUUUAUUAUAUGCGUUUCUAAUUUCUGGCGAGCGGAGGUAUUAGGAGUACAUAACUAAAAUUGGUGGCACAAAUUGUGCCACUUUCUUGGUUAUCCUAUUAUCCUGCUACCAGGCGAGCAAUUUCAGCAAAUGUUAUCCUAAACGUUGACCGAUAGAAAAUGGAAGUCCCUUAUAAUGUAAUUAUUUUACGACGUUGUAAAAACAUAACAAUAAAAAAUCAAA